GGGCGUCUAGCUCAAAUGGUAGAGCGCGUGCUUAGCAAGUUGUUUACAACGCGGCAUUGCACGAGGUACACGGUUCGAUCCCGUGGUCGUCCA